rnacentral:rRNA from 1 species
GUUACUUGGUACAUCGGUGACAGGUGUGCAUGGUUGUCGUCAGCUCGUGUCGUGAGAUGUUGGGUUAAGUCCCGCAACGAGCGCAACCCCUAUUGUUAGUUGCCAUCAUUCAGUUGGGCACUCUAGCGAGACUGCCGGUAAUAAACCGGAGAAGGUGGGGAUGACGUCAAAUCAUCAUGCCCCUUAUGACCUGGGCUACACACGUGCUACAAUGGUUGGUACAACGAGUUGCGAGUCGGUGACGGCGAGCUAAUCCCUUAAAGCCAAUCUCAGUUCGGAUUGUAGGCUGCAACUCGCCUACAUGAAGUCGGAAUCGCUAGUAAUCGCGGAUCAGCACGCCCGCGGUCGAAUACGUUCCGGGCCUU